rnacentral:rRNA from 1 species
UGGCUCAUUAAAUCAGUUAUCGUUUAUUUGAUAGUACCUUACUACUUGGAUAACCGUGGUAAUUCUAGAGCUAAUACAUGCUGAAAACCUCGACUUCGGAAGGGGUGUAUUUAUUAGAUAAAAAACCAAUGCCCUUCGGGGCUCUUUGGUGAUUCAUGAUAACUUCUCAGAUCGCAUGGCCUUGCGCCGGCGACGGUUCAUUCAAAUUUCUGCCCUAUCAACUUUCGAUGGUAAGGUAUUGGCUUACCAUGGUUUCAACGGGUAACGGGGAAUUAGGGUUCGAUUCCGGAGAAGGAGCCUGCGAGACGGCUCCUACAUCCAAGGAAGGCAGCAGGCGCGCAAAUUACCCAAUCCCGACACGGGGAGGUAGUGACAAUAAAUACUGAUACAGGGCUCUUUUGGGUCUUGUAAUUGGAAUGAGUACAAUUUAAACCUCUUAACGAGGAACAAUUGGAGGGCAAGUCUGGUGCCAGCAGCCGCGGUAAUUCCAGCUCCAAUAGCGUAUAUUAAAGUUGUUGCAGUUAAAAAGCUCGUAGUUGAACCUUGGGCCUGGCUGGCGGGUCCGCCUCACCGCGUGUACUUGACCGGCCGGGCCUUCUCUUCUGGAGAACCUCAUGCCCUUUACUGGGCGUGUUGGGGACCAGGACUUUUACUUUGAAAAAAUUAGAGUGUUCAAAGCAGGCCUUUGCUCGAAUAUGUUAGCAUGGAAUAAUAGAAUAGGACGUGCGGUCCUAUUUUGUUGGUUUCUAGGACCGCCGUAAUGAUUAAUAGGGACAGUCGGGGGCAUCAGUAUUCAAUUGUCAGAGGUGAAAUUCUUGGAUUUAUUGAAGACUAACUACUGCGAAAGCAUUUGCCAAGGAUGUUUUCAUUAAUCAGUGAACGAAAGUUAGGGGAUCGAAGACGAUCAGAUACCGUCGUAGUCUUAACCAUAAACUAUGCCGACUAGGGAUCGGGCGAUGUUUCAAUAUUGACUCGCUCGGCACCUUACGAGA